GACUGAGGCACAAUCGUCCAUUAAAUUAACUAUAAAUACAUUAUCUAUGUCGAUAUUCAUUAAGCCUUGCGAAUUUCAGCAAUUGCCCUUCUCCGAUGGUCUGAAUCCGCAAAAAGCGCCCUGAUCAGGAUAUUUAUCAGAUACUGGAAUUUUAGCCAGUUCGGGACAUAUAACGCUGUCAUGGGAACCUCCGCUUGUCCACUCGCUAUAUCUUGACCAGGUUUAGAUUCCGGAAGAAACAGAUCCUCGAGUUUAGAAAUCUGGUUGCAAAAUUCAGUAUGGCUGCACUGCGCAGCUGCCAAAUCCUUGGCUCCCAUCCAGCAGAUCGGACAAGACUGUGCGUUGCGAAUGCAUUUCCUUGCUGUAGGCAAUCUUCCCAAAUCUUUCGAGAGUUUCAACAUCGGGUUGUAAUCUGGAGAGAUUGUGUGUCUCCAUCAACAACCGCAGCUGUUCGGCAAAAUACAUGCUGUCAUUGUACUGGAACAUUUGGCCGCCAGUGAACCUUUGAGAGUAAAACAUAGGUGCUAAGGCCUUAAACAUCGCAAUGACUAAAGUGGGGAAUGAGAGCAGAGCUGGGCCGGACGAAGCGAUAGGGAUAUUUGAAUAUCUUUGGAUAGGAUAAUUAGAAACA
rnacentral:sRNA from 1 species